GUGCUCGCCUUGGCAGCACAUAUACUAAAAUUGGAUACAGAGAAGGUUAGAAUGGCCCCUGAGCAAGGAUGACAUGCAAAUUCAUGAAGCGUUCCAUAUUUUU